UACAGAGGUCCCGAGCGUUGUUCGGAAUUACUGGGCGUAAAGGGCUCGUAGGCGGCCAACUAAGUCGGACGUGAAAUCCCUCGGCUUAACCGGGGAACUGCGUCCGAUACUGGAUGGCUUGAGUUUGGGAGAGGGAUGCGGAAUUCCAGGUGUAGCGGUGAAAUGCGUAGAUAUCUGGAGGAACACCGGUGGCGAAGGCGGCAUCCUGGACCAACACUGACGCUGAGGAGCGAAAGCCAGGGGAGCAAACGGG
rnacentral:rRNA from 1 species